CUCUGAUUUCCAUGUGGUUCUUUAUUUGCUAUUUUCAAGUUAACUUGGAGCUUUACGAAAAAUACUCACUCUCAGAAACAAGCCUCACAUAUGUGGUUUCUCUUCAUCAGACCUGCCUAGAGCUAAUUUGAAGGCAACUGGCAGAGGGGAAUUAAACCCCUGAAGGAUACCAACAAAAGCUCUGGUUCUCUGGUUCUCCACUGCCCAGUUCUGACACAGCACCAUCAGAACUAAGCAUCGGCUCUCCAGGGGGACAGACACAGGAGCGACAUCAUGGCCUCGGCGGGCCUCCAGCUCCUGGCUUUCAUCCUGGCCCUAUCUGGGGUCUCUGGAGUGCUCACGGCCACUCUGCUGCCCAACUGGAAGGUGAAGGUGGACGCGGGCACCACCAUCGUGACGGCCAUCGUGCAGCUGCAGGGGCUGUGGAUGGACUGCACGUGGUACAGCACAGGGAUGUUCAGCUGCACCCUGAAGCACUCCCUCCUGUCCCUCCCCACCCACGUGCAGGCCGCCAGGGCCACGAUGGUCCUGGCCUGUGUUCUGUCUGCCUUCGGGAUCUGUACUUCCACUGUAGGAAUGAAAUGCACGCACUUAGGAAGGGACAGAGAGACCAAGAGCCACGCGGCCUUUGCUGGAGGGGUCUGCCUUGUGUCUGCAGGGGUCUCUGGUUUGAUACCAACGGUGUGGUACACGAAGAACAUCAUAGCCAACUUCCGGGAUCUGGCGGUUCCCGAGGGCAACAAACACGAACCUGGAGGGGCUCUCUACAUUGGAUUCAUUUCAGCGGUGCUGCUCUUUAUUUCUGGCAUUAUUUUCUGCACUUCUUAUAUAAAAAAGAACCCUGAAGCGUGGCCCUCCCCGCCCAGGCAGGAGCCCUCCCCUCCCACACAGCCGGAGAACAAUCCAGCCUACAGCCUGAAGGACUAUGUGUAGAGAGCUGUGCCGCACCCUCGCAGCAAGGCUUCUGGCGCCGGCUAGGACUGCACUGUAGACACAAAAACAUCAGACCCGUGCUUACCUUUCUCUACCUAAAAACUACAAGUACUUUAAAGUGCCAACUAACUAGCACACACAAUUAUAUCUGUCUCAAGAUUUCUUUAUAUUUUUUUAAUCAUUGUUUUCAUAUUUAAGGGUUUAUAAUUAGAAUCGAUUCUGACUGCAUUAAGUAAGGCAAUUAACUGACAGUGUGUUGUUUUUUUAAAGAUGACUUACUGACACCUCUUCUAAACUGGAUUCUACAAAAGAACUUAACUGACAGCUCUAACAAGCACCUUCCACGAUGUUAAGACUACCUCCUUGGGCAAUGCUUGAGGAACCUGCUUGUUUUAAAGCCACAGGGGUGAAAGGGCCUCUGGGAAGAAGAGCUGCCCAAACCGCACAGGGCCAGCCUGCCCUCCGCUCUGGUUUUCUCCUACGGAGCCACCCCCAGGCACCGGGUCUGAGCACAGCACAGCACCGCAGGCGAGCAGGAUGAAGGGAACCGGCAAGCACUGUCACAGCGGAGACGCACCGGCCCCGGGCUGAUGGAGCAGUAAGCCCAAGUCAAGAGAUAGUCUGUCUUAAAAUGCUGAGGAACUCUCUUCUGCUUCUAGCAAAAGGAUCCUCAGAUUAAGUUCAUUUUUCCUACAACAACUGAGACUCACCGCCCCAUUUAAUCUACUACCAUUUGAACGGAAUGUUUCUCCCCACCUGUGCCUUGGCAUGAUUCAGACUCUCGGAGAGAUGGCACUUCAGACAAGAUGAAGGCCAGAUUCCUGUGCACUGCAAGUGGCCAUGAGGAAGGAUGACGCCACAGCCAUCCCCAGCUGGGCUGCGUUCUUCCCUCUGCCCAGGACCUCAGAAAUUGCCGUUUAAACGAGUUAUGAGUUUACACAACAGUGUCUCCAACCAGAAUGGGAGUCGAGGUACUGUUUCCACGUCUGUGUCUUCAGUGAAGUGCCACUCCCAGUGCCACAUGCCAGUCCUGUCCUACAUCUCUGCAUACACUGGCUGGUUUGCCUCCUAACACUACCAGCUUACAGGAACUGAGGCUGGAAGAGCUUAGGUCAGUUACCUGACCUGCCCAAGGCCACCAGCUGAUAAAAAGGGACAUGGACUCAGCCCAAGGGACCAGACUGCAGAGUUAAAUGCCUGGGUGUGAACCCUAAAAGCUACACAGUGCCCCCACCCGAGUCUCAGUCUCCUGUGAAAGUGGGGACGGAGACAGCCCCUGCACACAGAGCUGGCUGAGCACAGACGCAGUACAGGUCUCACUCUAACAGCGGAUUUCAGUGGGGCAAAUUCAGACAGUGCCUGGAAACAUUCUGGGCUCUCACAACUGAGGUGCUGCUACUGGACUCCAGUGGGAAGAGACCAGGGAGGCCACCAAAUAGCCUACAGUGCAGAGGACAAACCCUGUGACACAGAAUCAUCUAGCUCCAAAUGCAGGCAGUUCUGAGGUUGAAAAACUUUGGUCUAAUAUAUUGAAUACAUUUAAAUAUGUGUUUUUUCUUUGACUAAAAAGUUACCAAAAUAAAAGGUAAAAUGGUGAAAACA